CCGACGCCCACUCAGCCUCACGACCGUCACCGGUGUCAGACGCGGCCCUCCCACACCAAGACGAAAUGGUUGGCAUCCACAGGCGAGGUCAAGCCUGGACAGCUGGUGCUCAUCAAGGAGAAGACCCCGCCACUGCUCUGGUCACUAGGGCGGGUCGUAAAGACCUAUCCAGGCGUGGAUGGCAUCACCAGGGUGGCCGAGUUGAAGACCAAGAGGGGGACCAUACGUCGAGCCUUCAACUGCAUCUGCCCGCUUCCACUUCAUUGAAGAAGAUGACUCUUCAACCCGGGGAGUAUGUUGGCGCUUCUCGGGUCCUCGGGCUUCUUCGACAUCGAUCGGCCAUCAUCGUCUCCGCGCGAGGCGCCGGCACACUUCGUACGUGCCCGACGCCCACUCAGCCUCACGACCGUCACCGGUGUCAGACGCGGCCCUCCCACGUAGGCGCGAACUAGCGAUAUAUUUAUAAUCAUUACACCUAUGAAAUACA